rnacentral:rRNA from 1 species
AUUGAACGCUGGCGGCAGGCCUAACACAUGCAAGUCGAGCGGAUGAAGGGAGCUUGCUCCUGGUUUCAGCGGCGGACGGGUGAGUAGUGCCUAGGAAUCUGCCUGGUAGUGGGGGAUAACGUCCGGAAACGGGCGCUAAUACCGCAUACGUCCUGAGGGAGAAAGUGGGGGAUCUUCGGACCUCACGCUAUCAGAUGAGCCUAGGUCGGAUUAGCUAGUUGGUGGGGUAAAGACCUACCAAGGCGACGAUCCGUAACUGGUCUGAGAGGAUGAGCACUCACACUGGAACUGGGACACGGUCCAGACUCCUACGGGAGGCAGCAGUGGGGAAUAUUGGACAAUGGGCGAAAGCCUGAUCCAGCCAUGCCGCGUGUGUGGAGAAGGUCUUCGGAUUGUAAAGCACUUUAAGUUGGGGGGAAGGGCAGUAAGUUAAUACCCUGCUGUUUUGACGUUACCAACAGAAUAAGCACCGGCUAACUUCGUG